GUAGUAGUCCCUCCGUUCCAAAAUUCUUGUCUUACAUUUGUUUAGAUACGGAUGUAUCUAACACUAAAAUGUAACUAGAUACAUCCGUAUUUAGACAAAUUUAAGACAAGAAUUUUGGGACGGAGGGAGUACAAA
rnacentral:pre_miRNA from 1 species